AUAAGGACUUUGGCCACAGCCCUGCCUAUCCGCCAGCCUGUCCCUUUUCUACAAAACAAAUGUGUUAUUUGGGCAGAAGAGGAAAGGAGAAAAUUUAAAGUGGAAAAAUCUUUGGUUUGGAAAUUCAGCUGACUGCCCUCAUUUGGAAUACAGGAGAGAGGGAGGUUGGAAGCGCCACUGAGAGGAGUCAGAGGAAAGUGUAAGGAGACUUGGACACCCUGAUUUCCUGCUAUGGGGAGUGAAAAAGAAGCCAUCGUCCCAUGGAUUCUGUUACCAGCCACUGAGUGCAAUCCUACCUGAUCCCAUGGUCCUCACCAAGGCUGUGUCUGCUUAGGAAAUGGAGAAUGGUCCCCACACCACAGCAGCAAAAAUGAGUGGAAGGGUUGAGCAUUAUUUCCUGCCUUGGUUGCUCUGGUGAUUGGUGCCUGGGACGGGCAGGACCUCCAUCCAACAGACUGUACCAGAAGAGUCGUAAGAGCUUUGUCAGUGGUUCCCAGAUACCAAUUUAUAAAGAUUUCACUAGUCUGUGGCAAAAUAAUAUAACAAUGGCUAUGA
rnacentral:lncRNA from 1 species